rnacentral:lncRNA from 1 species
CAAUUUUGAAAUUUAAAAUGAUUUGAUUUAGCCUUUGUUUCAUAAUUUAUUUUGUUGAUGAUAGAGAAUAUACCUUGCUUGGAAAUGAACUUUGUACUCUUGAGUUCAUUCUAUUGAACCCUUAUGACACUACUAAGACUUGUGAAAGCCUUGGUCAAAUAGACAAGGACUUUCAUAAUAGGUCUAACCCCAGAGCAAUGAGAACAGGAAUUGUCAACUGCAAAAUGUUUGAUUCUGAUGAACUGGGAGAUCGACAACCCAUCACUCUAAGUUUUGUUGGUGCUUCAGAAUCAGCAACACCUCCAACAAGACUUGAACAACCCAAGCAACAACCUCUGCCAUCGUCGAUCAACAACUAAGUAGCCAAAGAACUUUCCCCAAGCUGCACACCUAAAAAACAAGGCAACAUUAGCCAAAGAGUAGAGACACCCACCAAAAUAUAUAAAACUUGGUACAAAUAAUAUAUUCGUCCAUGUGUAAAUCUGUCACGACCCGGUACUCCCCUCGAGCCCGUGACAAUCACAGCGACGUCUCGAUAGACAUUCAUUGCCUAGAAUGCCAACCGAAACCUCACAAGGCUUUAAUAUAAAUUUUCGCACCUCCCUUGUGAGCAACAGUUGUUAAGUAUCAUGUUUUGAGAGAUUAUAAACUAUUUCCAAAUCAAAACAAUAGAAAAAUAAUUUUUUUUCUCACAGGGGCAUUUUGGUCAUUUUUCUUCAAAAAUCUCAAAAUCAGCUAAAAAUGUAGUAUGGGAGUGGAAAACACAUAUUUCAUACUCAAAAAUAAGUUUAGAUGUCUAAAACAUUCAUUUAAAGUAAAACUAUACCUAUUUGAAUAUAAUAAAAAUAUUUAAUAAAAUAUUCUAUUUUCUUAUAAAACAAUAUUUAUAGAGUUAUCGGUAAAUAAUUUUUGUAGCAUAAAAGCUAAAUAAAUUCAUACAUACUAUAAUAUAGAUAACCAAAGUAUACAAUUUAAUUUAAAGUGACACAUGGGCCCACAAACGACCAAAAGUAUCAAAAGCGAUAAGCCUACAGUUUUUGAGGAUGCAAGUCCAAUUGUAGCCCUCAACGAAAUGAACUAUUUAUCG